UUGAGAAAGCAUCAAGUUGGACUUCUGGCAGCUUCAAUCUUUUCUUUUUUCAAAAUGAGGAAACUGCCAAAAACCAGCCUUUCCAGUGAAUAGGUAGGGCUUUGAUAAAUUUGCAUUUUUCUGAUGAAAAGACAUUAGCUGAAAAAGAUCAGAGCAUAUCUACCAUGAUCCUUCUUCUAUACUUCCCUGAUAAAAACAGAGGGGUUUACUAUUAUCGUUUUUGGAGACAAAUUAAGCCUUCUUGGGCUUGGUAUCAUGCUAGCAAAGCCAACGGAAGGUUUGUCUUUGGGCUGAUGUAUGUUUGAUUCUUCCAUGUAGGUGUUUGCGUGUUUGCGCACUUAAACAUGAGUGCAUGAAUGGCUCCCACACAAAUGCACAAAGUAGGUACUAUCUGUUGGCAAGAUGUCAAUAUCUAAAGUGUUAUAACCUAUAGACCUGGUGAGUUUCCUAAGACAUUAGACAGACACCUAAAGAAGCAGUUAGAUGCUUAGAAGUAUUUUAAGAACAUCCCUGUAGAUCUGAACUCUGGCUGGUUUUAUUUGCCUGUGCAGGUACAUCAAUAGUGCUAAGUUUUGGCAUUUUGAUAUUGUGACACCUAAAACGAUGCUAAAUUCCUGCCCUAGAGGGAAGUGGGGUGUCACAUAUAAGCACCAAGAAAAAGCUGCAGUCCCCUUUUAGGAUACCUGCCACAGGCCAGGCUGCCUCCGCCGGGGGUCCUCUCCUCCUCCCAUUCCUCAGCUUCUCACAGUGGUGCUCCUCUAUAAAGGACAGGAUUUACUGAUUUGCAAGGCACCACAUGAACAUCCAAGGGAAGAACCAUGUCUAACAGUCCCUUUCCUCAUCAGCAUCCUUAAGGCAAGACUUUUGGUGGUCAAAAAGCAGAAAUUCUGCAGUGCUGCUUUGUCAGCGGCUUUGUCCUUUUGUUUGGUUUCUGAGGAUGUUUAAGCCAAUUUCUCUCAGUGGGGACAAGCAAGAGAUUCAAAACAUUGUUUUAGUUAAUGCUGAUAGGGUGAACAAUAGGAAAGAAAAACAGCUCCGUACACACCGAACAAGAGACAGUCACCAGCACGUAAAGAACUGUCAUUGUUAUUACUGGAACAAUAUACCUGGGCUGCACUGAGACACAAAACAUUGCACCUUUCAGAGCUGCUACAAAAUAGGGGAAGUAGUGGAAGCGAGCCUUUGGGUGAAGCACUUAAUUAAUUUGUGGAUGCACAGCUCUGAAUGAGAGUUAGGUGUGAACAAAUCCAGAGAACACAGGAAGAAAGGGCCGCGCACUCGUGCAGUGACUGCAGUUCUCAGAAGAAAUCUACAAAGUGGAGAUGGGAUUGCAGUAACACUUGAAGUGAUUCUGAGAGAUAUUAGGGCCUCUCUUAUGCUUUGGAGCUGUUCACAUCCAAUUCAUCCGCCAACCCACUCCGUUUGGUUGGGAAUGAGCAGGUAACAGAGACAGAAGAUGCAGAGGCUGGCUUGCAGCAUUCACUGGCUGAAGCCAUGGGCGCCCGCUGCUUGGCUACACCAUAAAAGCUGACAGAAAAGCGUUGGCUUCACAGAUACCUCUUAAUAAUCCACGAAAGACAGCAUGAUGGGAAGCGUGGCACACAGCUAUCAGUGCAUCUUAUGAGGGAUCAAAAAAUAAGUAUAAAUGUUGCCUGACCCUCACCAGCGGGUGUGAGAAUAGAUUGGCCUACCUGGAAAUAUGAGUCAUCUCCCAACAACAGCUAGAAGGGCAAAAGCUUGUACGUGGUAACGUGCUAAUGAUAGAGAUAAAUGUGUGGGAAGCAGAGAUGGUGGAACACCCUCUGUUCUGCUUUCACAGAAGAAGCUGGGUAGUAGCAGUUAGCUUCUGAGGGCUACAGAUCGGGUGAGACCAUGUCUCUGAAUUUAGGAAAAUAAUGAACCGCAGAGAAGCAGCCAAAGAACAUGAUGUGACAGUGGUUUUGUGUCCCUCACUAGCUGCCCUUUCCCCAGCAGUUGGUGCAUGCCCAGAUGGUCUGUUGCACUUUCCUACAAGACUGGAGCAAGUCCUAUAACCCCCUGCUAUAGGGCUCUGGGUUGGAAAUCAUGGCAACAUGUGUUGUAUCUAUCAUACAGUGAUAACAUUACAUGUGCUCUGCUCUCCCCUGUUACCUCUUCAUGUCAGAGCAGACGUAACAUAUUUUGAAAUGCCAGAGGACGUCAGGAUUAAUCACCAGGGAAGAAUAUUCUUUGGUAUCGUCCAAGAGAAAUGUUAGGUGGAUAUCAUUAAACAUGUCAAAAUAUUGCCUUCUUUAUCUCACAGAUCCCACAAAGGUCAUGCUUAGGGAUUUCCUUCACACCAUUUUUCUUGUCUGUGAAAAAAUUUGACAUGCAAUCAAGCAAAGACACGAGGAAAAUCAUUCAGAGCAGUAAAAUCAGGCUGAGCCUAAUUAUUUGGAUUCUCAUGACAUCCACUUAGAUGCUGAGCCACGAUGGGACAGGUAAGGAAGGUGGUUUCUUCAAAGGCAUGAAUAUGAAUUAGGCAAACAAAAUAUUCCUCACCUUCGUGUAAAGCUUUUGAAAAUGGCACUCAUUGCCUUCACUCAGUUCGUAUGAAAAGUGCAUGGCGGUAAAAUCUCGAUCUGCAGGAGCAGAAGCAGAGCAUUCUGUCUGUUUCAUUCACCGGGCCCUUCUCCCCCUGUAUUGCCUGCUGUUCUCAUUUCCGUCCAUGUCUUUCACAGUGCGCCCAUUGCACACACUCGCCUUACUUCAUUUGCUCAAGUUCACAGACAAAUUGUUUCACAAUGAUCUUUUUUUUUAAACCAAUACUCUUAUUCCAAGUGUAUUUUUCUUUUCUCACGGACAGCAACACACAGAAUGGCUGCUGGGGCCUGCUUCAUUUCAGAAGCAGGGCAGUUUCUCUUCAGUUCAUCCAUCUAAUUCUAUCUUGACAAAAUCACCUUUGUUUCUCAUAUAAGCUGAAGGAAUCAUUUAACUGCUUUGUUGAAUGAAGAUGGGAGUGGCUACUUGAUUAAAACUGACCACAUGCUUCUAAGUCAGAUCCAAAGGACGGAAGAAAAAGUAACCUAGGUGUAAAACUGCAAUCCAAAAUAAUUCCGUCCAUCAAAUGAUUAAAUAAAAAAAUAAAUGAUUAAAUAAAUGAUUAAAUAACUGACUAUUUGAAAGGCUGAAAAAUCCCGAAGUGCCUGUGGUUUUGCCCUGUGUGGGGUCUCGGAGCUCCCCUUGGUUAGGAAGCUGCACUCCUACCUCUGUCCCAAGCCAGCAACUGGGCAGAGCAGGGCCUGCAGCACCCUGAGCAUCACGGAGUUAAACAAAAGGCACCACAAACACAGCUGUUUCCCCCUCACAAGUACUGCCCAUGGCAGCAGCAGCUAUCUGUGUUUCCUGCAGAGAAGUCUGAAGAUGCUCCUCUGAGAAGCAGGAGACUUUGGCUCUGGUCCUCCUGCGCUGCUGAAGCUCAGACCCACAUCCCCUUUCCCUGUGUGUGCAUCCAGGGUGGUGAUGCGUGUUUUAUCAGCAGCCUGCAGCUGCUAGUUUUGAAACAACCAAUCCCGAAGCUGCAAAAGUAUGAAAGAGAGGGUAAGAAAUGAACAGAAGAAACAGACAAUUGGAGCAGGGUCCUGACCAUGGGGUGGCUGCUAUAUUUUAAAAUCCAUAAAAGUUUGGCUUAUGCAAGAAACCAUCUGGUAUUUAGGCCUAGCUGAAAUUUUGGCUGUGUGCGUGCGCUCUGUGUGAGUACCAGUGCAGCAGCUUCGCAGGCGCGUGCACGUACUCUGCUGGACUCCUUCACCAGGCAGGGCAGGGCACUUGCUGAAAAAAAUCUGGAAAAGCUACUGGGCUUCACACCCUUCUUACUCCUUCUGGACAGCUCGCGAUGGUCUUUGAUCUAGGGGAAAACAUGCCUGCUUGCCACUGCUGUAAUGCUGCAAACCCUCAUUACAAAUCGGUGCACGACACAAAAAGUAGUUAGCGAUGAAUAUCUCAGGAACACUGCAAGAACCACGUGGUUUCUUUCUGUUCACUACUUUGCUGCACAUGAAUAGAACUGAAGGCUGUCCCACCUUCUAAGAGCAUCUACCCCAAAUCAACCAGACAAGGUAGAGGGGGAAGGAAGCGUUUGCUUACUUCUACAGAUGAAAAACUGAGGUACAGGAGAUGAAGUGAAAGCUUCAACUCAUACAGGAAACCUGUGGCAGAGCAACUAACUGAAGCAGGUUGGGCGCUGCUGAGGACAAAGACUGGAGUGAAUUAACAGCUCACAGACUUUUCUGACUCACCAGGAGGAAAAAAAAUAAAAGUAUUACAAAAAGCCAGUAUUGCAUCAGGGAGGGUUCUUCCAGAGUGUGCUAAUGCCAGGCACAAGGAACAGUGUGUGCUGCUCCUGUGAGUAAUGCUGAAAAAAGACAAAUUCAAAUGGGAACAGGUGCAGCUGAGGGCACCAACAACCAGGACAGAGGCGGGUUAUGAAAAAGAUUACAAGAUUUGUUGUUUAUCCCAGCAAAACAAAGACCAAGAGAGCUAUGUCAGUGAACUAUCAUCACUCUCGGGGCAGAAUGUCAGCAAAGGGAGCGUGCUGGUUAAGCUAGCAGAUGGUGCUGGCUUAAGAGACAACAGGUAUAAGUCAGGCAUGAGCAAAUACCAGUUCAAAAUCAGAAGAAAGUUUUUAAGCAUCAGAAUGAGGAAGGUAAAGAAGUCCUUUCCAGUGGGGAGUGGUGGCAAUGAAAAGAAUAUAUAUCCAGAAACCUUGAGGAGCUUGUGAGAGGAAUUGCAGAGCACGGGCAGAGUGGACUCAGCUCCAGAAUUGCUUCCACUGUGGAGUUCAAACCAAGUGCCUCAACUUUCCUUCACUUCUAAGGAAUUUAGAAGAACAAUCUCUUGUUACAUACAGUGCUUAGCACAACUGUGGUCUCUGGGCACUAUAGUAGCACAAAUAGUGCAGAACACUAAUGAUCAACCAUAAUUACAUCCUUCCUGAAGCAGAGAUGAUACGUGAGAACACCAAAAAUGAAAAGCAGGGAACUAGCUGCAAGCUUAUUUCAGCCACUCGUGACCUCCCCGUAUUCUGUGCGAAUGAGAAAACGUCUGCUCUCAGAUACUGCGGUGUAAAUCCAGAGGAAUUCAAAACACAUCCUUGCAAGCAAGCUUGAACUUCAGUGGCAUGCUUUCUUUUUCUAAAGGGGAUGAACUCUAUCAGUUUGUUAAAAACUGUGGCUACAACUCUGGAAAUGCUGUAAAGGCCAAGGAUUCCUAUAAGUGCAAAGCUGGGUUUGGGAAGCCCUGCAAAAAUCAGCCAAGUGGGCAGACACCAAUCUCAUCUUCAGCAUCGACGUGCAGAAAUCGUGUGUCCUGGGCAAGAAUUCGUUGGUGCUCAGAGUGCAAGUGAAUCUAACCUUUUCCUACCAAAACGUGUCAUGCAUCUUGGAUACAUCUUUACGCAGCCUUCCCUAUAGCAUUACUCAAAAUCCAGAGGCCCUGGUAUCACUGCCCAGGGCAGGACAGGAGGAUAGAGCUGCUUUUCAGAAGAACAGGGCUAGAGGGGAGCCUGGCAAAGCCCUGCUCCAUACCCUCCUCUAUGAAAUUUCUGUGUAGGUAAAAAAUAACACUUUUCAGUCUGGAUCUGGCCGUGCUCCUUCUUCCAUUUCAUGCAAUGCAGAGGGAAGUUUGCAGCAGAGAAACAGCGCCCGGUGAGAUUCCGCACAGAGCCUCUAACUGCAGCAGGACUGCGAGGAGCUGGAGUUCGGGCCGUGUCCACUGGAGUGGUAGCAGUUUUCUUCAGCUCACUGGAGACAUCUCAGAUUUCAAGUACAAUCUUAGUGCCACCAGGGGAUUCACCAUCACUCAGAUAAAAUGUAGCACACAAAAUCUGCACACAUACUUGUCUGGUAGAUUCCAAAGAAAUAGGGUCAAUUAAAACCACCUCAGAUCCUGAUAAACACACUGUUGUUUUUUUUCUUUGUGUCGGUUGCACACUUAAUAUAAGAUGAUUCUUUCUCUUGUCAGAGUGGAGUUGUUACAGACG